rnacentral:rRNA from 1 species
GAUGAACGCUGGCGGCGUGCUUAACACAUGCAAGUCGAGCGAGAAGUUUUGAAAAGAUUCUUCGGAUGAAACUUAAAAUGGAAAGCGGCGGACGGGUGAGUAACGCGUAGGCAACCUGCCCCAUACAAAGGGAUAGCAUUUGGAAACGAAUAUUAAUACCUUAUGAAACUUAACUAGUGCAUGCUAGGUAGGUCAAAGAUUUAUCGGUAUGGGAUGGGCCUGCGUCUGAUUAGCUAGUUGGUGAGGUAACGGCUCACCAAGGCGACGAUCAGUAGCCGACCUGAGAGGGUGAACGGCCACAUUGGAACUGAGACACGGUCCAAACUCCUACGGGAGGCAGCAGUGGGGAAUAUUGCACAAUGGGGGAAACCCUGAUGCAGCAACGCCGCGUGAACGAUGAAGGCCUUUGGGUCGUAAAGUUCUGUUCUAGGUGAUGAAAACUGACAGUAACCUAGGAGAAAGCCCCGGCUAACUCCGUG